rnacentral:rRNA from 1 species
UGUCUCAUGAAAAUAAUAUGAGAUAAAUCCUGCCCAGUGACAUAAGUUCAACGGCCGCGGUAUCCUAACCGUGCAAAGGUAGCAUAAUCAUUUGCCUAUUAAUUGUAGGCUAGAAUGAACGGACCAACGAAAUGAGGCCUGUCUCAAUUAGUCGCAUAAAAAUUACUUUAUAUUUGAAGAUAAAUAUAUAUCCUCGAAGGACAAGAAGACCCUAUAGAGCUUUAUUAUAUUUGCAAACUAUAUUGCAAAAAAAUUCGGUUGGGGCGACCAUGGAUUUAUUAAUCAUCCACAUAAAAAAGAUAUAUAUAUCAAUUUAAUGACCCUUAAAAGAUCACAAGAAUAAGCUACCUUAGGGAUAACAGGCUAAUCCUAUUCAAGAGUCCAUAUCAACAAUAGGGUUUGGCACCUCGAUGUUGGCUUAGGAUAACUACAUAGCGCAAAAGCUAUAUAAAGAUGGUUUCAACCAAACUUCCU